UUAAGUUCAGCGGGUAGUCUCACCCGAUUUGAGGUCAAGGUUUAAAACUCUGUCUUGAAUGCAAGACGGUUAGAAGCGGGGUCUGAAGCGACAGUGCGAAACCCAAGACGUAGAAACAUCUUAUCACGUCAAGGAUCGGCAAAGCAGACCACACUAAUCCAUUUAGGAGGAGCUGGCUUCAAAGAGGCCAGCAAUGAAAG
rnacentral:misc_RNA from 1 species